CUGCGGCGCAUUAGUUAGUUGGUAAGGUAACGGCUUACCAAGGCGACGAUGCGUAGCCGACCUGAGAGGGUGAUCGGCCACACUGGAACUGAGACACGGUCCAGACUCCUACGGGAGGCAGCAGUAGGGAAUCUUCCGCAAUGGGCGAAAGCCUGACGGAGCAACGCCGCGUGUGCGAAGAAGGUCUUCGGAUCGUAAAGCACUGUUGUUAAGGAAGAACGACAGUAUGAGUAACUGCUUACUGUGUGACGGUACUUAACCAGAAAGCCACGGCUAACUACGUGCCAGCAGCCGUGGUAAUACGUAGGUGGCAAGCGUUAUCCGGAAUUAUUGGGCGUAAAGCGCGCGUAGGCGGCGAGAUUAGUCUGAUGUGAAAGCCCCCGGCUCAACCGGGGAAGGUCAUUGGAAACUGUUUCGCUUGAGUGCAGAAGAGGAGAGUGGAAUUCCAUGUGUAGCGGUGAAAUGCGCAGAGAUAUGGAGGAACACCAGUGGCGAAGGCGGCUCUCUGGUCUGCAACUGACGCUGAUGUGCGAAAGCGUGGGGAUCAAACAGGAUUAGAUACCCUGGUAGUCCACGCCGUAAACGAUGAGUGCUAAGUGUUAGGGGGUUUCCGCCCCUUAGUGCUGCAGCAAACGCA
rnacentral:rRNA from 1 species